CUUCACCGAGCCGAGCAGCACGGGCCGCUCGGGGUCGCGGUCCUUGCCGUAGGUGGCGAACAGGGCCUGCGCCUC
rnacentral:antisense_RNA from 1 species